rnacentral:tRNA from 1 species
UGCGGGGUGGUGUAGUGGUGAACAUUAGUCUCUUGUCAUGACUGGCCGCUGGUUCGAUUCCAGCUCCCGCAC